rnacentral:rRNA from 1 species
UACGUAGGGGGCAAGCGUUGUCCGGAGUUACUGGGCGUAAAGCGCACGCAGGCGGUCUUUUAAGUUUGGAGUGACAGUUGGUGGCUUAACUGCCAAAGUGCUUCGAAAACUGAGAGACUUGAGGGCUUCAGAGGGACACGGAAUUCCGGGUGGAGUGGUGAAAUGCGUAGAGAUCCGGAGGAACACCAAAGGCGAAGGCAGUGUCCUGGGGAGUACCUGACGCUCAGGU